AACGAGGCCGACCUGCGGCUGAGUUACCUGCGGAGGGAUCAUUAUCGUGGAGCUCCGGCUCCUUCGAGGGAGAACCCUUGCCUUUUCGAGCACCUGUUUGUUUCCUCGGCAGGUCCGCCUGCCAAUGGGGACCCCUUUAAACUCUUGCAAUAACCUGUACCAAAUCGUCUGAAUAAAACAAACAAAUCAAAACUUUCAACAACGGAUCU
rnacentral:misc_RNA from 1 species